rnacentral:tRNA from 1 species
UCCAUAGCUCAGUCGGUAGAGCAACUGACUUUUAAUCAGUAGGUCGCUGGUUCGAACCCAGCUGG